CACAAACACUGUUCACAACAGACUCACACAGCCUUCAUUAUGCCAGCGUUACACCGUAAACGAAUCACAGAGGAGAGAGUGGAUCUUUUAAAACAUCUCUGCAAGGAGCUGUUACACUUCUUUGUGCUUAUUAUGGGAACUGGAGCUUCUUUCAGGGUGUCAGAGCAGUGCAGUGGUGUCUCACCACCCUCAGGCUGAGUGUAUCCCCAUCCAGAUAUCCAGCACUGUGUGCCUCCUGGUAGAUCAUAGUCGUACCGAGGCAAGCAGACCG